UUGUUGAUGGUACCUAGUCCCUCACAGGGCCU
rnacentral:piRNA from 1 species